UAGAGAUGAGAGAAAGGUAUAAGAAAAAAGAAUAGAUAGAAAUUGUUGGAAGUUUAAGUAAAUAGAACGUUGAAUUCGUGAAGAUAUAAGCAAACAUUUAUUUCCGUGCCGGAAGGCCAAGAAACGCACUGAACCGUUCGAAUUGUGCACGAUUGAGGUUAGGUGAUACGUGACUUGCGUAUUGCCCUGUAAUCUAGCAGUAAUUGUUGGGAAUUAACGAGAUACAAUAAUUGACCGAUCUUUUAGCUGAUACCGUUUGGAAUACAUUCCUUAGGGUGUUGCUGAAAAGCCACUUAUUUAAUCCACCCAAUAAAAGCAAAGCAAUCGAAUAAUAGAUUUCGUCCCAAGCCAGUGUGAACAAUAAAGCACCGUUACUUCCAUCGAUGCGAAAUCGAUCAUUCAUUUAGAGAUGUUUGAAA